UACGUAGGGGGCGAGCGUUGUCCGAAGUUACUGGGCGUAAAGCGCGCGUAGGCGGGUAUGUAAGUCUGCUGUGAAAGCCCUAAGCUCAACUUAGGUUAGUCGGCGGAUACUGCAUAUCUUGAGGGAGGCAGGGAGAAGUGGAAUGGCUGGUGUAGCGGUGAAAUGCGUAGAUAUCAGUCGGAACACCGGUGGCGAAGGCGGCUUCUUGGGCCUUACCUGACGCUGAGGCGCGAAAGCUGGGGGAGCGAACGGG
rnacentral:rRNA from 1 species